rnacentral:rRNA from 1 species
CCCGUCACACCAUGAGAGUUGAUUGCACCAGAAGCAGAUAGCCUGACCGCAAGGGGGGCGCCUACCACGGUGUGGUCAAUGACUGGGGUG